rnacentral:tRNA from 1 species
GCAUCAGUGGUUUAGUGGUAAAAUCUAUCGUUGCCAUCGAUGGGCCCCGUGUUCGAUUCACGGGUGAUGCA